ensembl:lncRNA
AGAGCAGCUCACAGAUCAGUGGGAAGUCACAUCAGGAGAACAUUAAGUAUUUGUAGCAUGUGAUUCCCUUGUGUUUUAUGUCUGUGAAACAGCUGUUUGUCCCUUCACCAGGCAGUGAUGGCAGCAGCAGCGUUCAGGAGCAGAGGACUGGCUGGUGUCAGAAACACCAACGUUUUAAUCCUCAUCUUUCUGCUGUCCCUGGUUUAUGUCACAAAUUCACUGAUGAAAAUGCUUGAGCAGAUGAAAACAGCGAUAAAAGAAGCAGAAAGAUGGAAGGCAGAAAACAAGUAUAGAAAGGAAACAAUCACAAAACUGUUUGAUCUCUCAAGUUCACUGAAUAACAAGGAGCCACUGAAACUAUUCAAGGAAACCGUGCACAAAGGAAUAAAAGAAGAACAAAGGGUAAAGGCACAAUUCAUAUACAGAAUAGCAACAUCAGGUUUUGAGGAAAUGUUGGAGAACUACGUUCAUCGGCUGGAAAUGGUGAAGAGAUUAUUGCCUGAUUCCAAACCACUGAAGGAAAUCGUUAACAUCUGUUUGCACAUGAUGAAGAAUUUAACAACUAUAAUAAACAAGAAGAUGAGUUUGCUGCAAAAAUA